CCCCCACGAGUACCUCGCCUCCGCCGAGCUGUCGCCCAGCUAACGCACAGGAGCUCGCCGCUAUCGCAGCCGAAGCAAGCGUGGCGGGACUCUGUAUCGGCGAGGGCUGCGACAGCAGUAAAAACAGCACACUGAGCCCUUUGGAGACUGGAAUGCCUUUCAUUAUUCUUGAGAGACCAAUUAAGGACUAGUGUUGACAUAUUCCAAAAGGGCUCCUGUCUGGGCCUUGUACAAAGUACAAAAGAACAACAUCAUGGUUACAAACCAGUGACUCAAGGUUGCAGAGGGUAUGCAACAAAAAUGAGAAAAUGGAGUGGGAUUUUCAGGGAUCCACAAAGCAUUUAGAGGAGCCUUCUUCCUUUAUGCCACGCUGUGACUUGAACAUUGUAUCUUGCUCCUUGAAGAAAUCCAACUCGGUGAGGAGCAGCUAGCGUUAGAAACUACCCAAAACAAACACAAUAGCUGAGCGGGCCAAGGACUAAAAGCACAUGCCGAGCUGAAUGAGAGCAGCAAUUUUGGUAUGAUUUGCAGCUCACACCUGCGUGCCUGUUCUAACAAGCUUUUUAAAUCAUCAGUGUAGUGUAAAACACUUAAAAUGAACCUAAAUUAGAAAGUCAAAACUUGCUAAUUCACAUUAAUUAAUAGGAGACUCAUUGUGAAUUAGUAGAGUGAUUUAAAAAAACAAAGGUACUGUGCUAGGAUGAAUGUAUUCUGUUCAUUUAGGGCCUGAUUCUGUCUCUUCUUACUCCUGCGGAUUGGUAUUUUAUUGUUUAAAUUGCCUGACUCACAGUGACUACUGCUCAAGGAAGGAUCUGACUUGCUGGUGUAGAAGAUAACAACCACUCCUGAGCAUAUUUGAUGAUGGAGCAGUAAGCCUUGAGGUUGACAAAGUAAAACAGUGUUUGAGCUGUCACCACCCAACCCAUCAAGGAAAGACAUCAUCAACAAUAACCAAUGCAGACUAGUGUAUCUAAAUGGAGCAGAAAAUUAAUUAUGUGCAAUUUUUUUCAGACUAAACAAAAAUAACCCAUGAAAAAGGAAAAAAAAUAUUGCUUAAAUGUAAUAACAUUAAAUGACAACACAUCAGACACAUUGCUUUAUCUUAAUUAGUAAUUAAGCUGAAAGUCUUUUGAGAGAGAUUCGCAAAUGCAGAUUGCUGUGACAGAACUCAAAGGAAAUUAGAUUGUAGCAAAAAUAUGCGGGAACAUAAUCUCUGGUUAUUUCACAUUCAGAAGUCCUGGAAAAGUGGGCCCACCUGUUCUUGUCACUUGUUCCAUGAUCUAUUUCUAGGGGAUGAUCACUCUUCAUGGGGUGAAUUAUCUCAAGUUGUCCUGUUCCCUGAACUCAGUAAUUUAAAAGUUUUAGGGCUGGGUAGUUUGUGGAUUUUUUUUAUCAAGCACCCUUAAAUUAAUGACAUUUUACAAAAUCAGUGAGAUUUGAUCCCUAUGCCUUGAAGAACUUGAAGUCUAACAUUCUGAUCUUGAGAGGUGCUGAACACCAAAGUAUAAAAUUCGGAGUGAUGCAGAGUUAAGAUUCUUUCCCAUGUAUUUUGUAGUUUGCCACGUAUGGAGAAACAGGUUGAGAAGUAAAUGAUUUUGGAAAGUUUGCUGUACAAUGGAAAGGUAAAUCGCUGGUUUUGUACCACACGUUUGGUGACUCAGCAGUAAUGGAUAGGGUGUUAACUCCAUGCAGUAACAGCAACAGGCACAGAUGUAGCUUACAUGCAAAUUGACAACAUAAAAAGUAAUUCCUGUGAACAUUUUCAAGUAGUAUACAACGGAAGAAACAGCGAGAGACUCAAAACAGUCUGAGCUAUUAUUACAUAUAGUAUGGCAGCAUAAAACACACAUCUAUGGUAUAGUGAUCAUGCAAAUUGUUAAUAUUGUGUGUGAAACAGUCCAUGAACUCAUCCUGAGAGGGGUUAUCAUUUUAGUUAAUAUUGCACCCAGAUCUCCUUGGCCUGGGUGCACUCUCUCUUUUCCUAUCAGACUCUCUGUGUGACCUUAGAAGUCACUUAAUAUCUCUGGGCAUUUGUUACCCAUCUCUGAAUGCUAACAAAUGUGUUCGUUUUCCUGCCCUUGCUUGUCUCUUUAUGUUGCCAGCUCUCAAGGGUCAUGGAGGUUUCUUGCCUCAGUGGUCUACACAACACUUGGCAGGAUGACAUUGCAGUGGCACUGGUGCUCCCUGCAUUGCUUUGAUACUAAUAGUCCUGAUCAUAGUAGAAGCAAGAGAGCUGUAACUGCCGCCCACCAUGGAAGCAAUUUAGAACAAUGCAUUUUAGUUAAAAACAAAUGUAGAGGCAUUUCCUGAUCCACAAUAACUGAUAUGAAGUAUGUCAGAGAUGGCAUAUAGUUUGCCUUAAUGUUAUGUGUGUUCAAAAUGCUGCUAAAAGUGUAUGCGUGUGUACAUGCACGUGUGCACACCUGUGUGUUUAAACAAGAUAAACCCUCAUUCUAGUUUGAAAGUAAUAGCGCCUUUGUAUCGUAUCAGUUAAACACUACUUUACCCUGAUAGCAAAAAAAAAUGAUGUAUUGCCAUGUGUGAUUUUAAGCUUGUCUUGAAAUUCCCAGUAGAGGAGUGUCGUUGCUAACACUGAAUGUCAUACAGAGAACUACAUGCCCAACACUACUUCAGGUUGCAGUGGGGUUAUCUCCUGUGGCAGGGAAAACAGAGUCCUCACAUUCUUGGCUGGCAAGGAAGAAGAGAUGUCCAACUGCUUUGAUUAAAAAUGUAUUUAUUUAAAUAAUUUAAAAACACAUGUGUACUGUACUUCUCAAUCUGAGGUCUUGGAUCAGAUUGCAGAUGGCUCAUAGGAAGCACUGUGUUAUCUUAUGUGUCUGUACUUGUCAAGUACAAUGGGAUCCCCAGUCCUGGUUGGGCCUCUGGACAAUAACCCCAGUGCAAAUCACUGGUUUGAAGUGUCUCAACUUGCAUUCUGCGUGGGGCACAUGUGAGACUUCGUACCAGCAGGUGUCACGGAAGAAGUGCAGUCUUAAUGUAUUAGGAUCUUCUGCGGAAAGAACUUCCAGCAAGUUUGUAACGGUGAAAUCCCUUGUGAACACUUUUUUUCUUUCAAGAAUCAGCUGAAACCAAGAUGAGUUGGCAGCAUGACAGAGGGGAACAUACAGGGGAACUAUAAAUAGAUUCCUGAAAAGAUAGUUAGGUUUUCAUUCUUGGAAUUGUACAAUCAGAGAUGCCACAAAAAAAUCCUUGGCACAUUGCUCCUCUUUGAAGUAAAUGUGAGUGCUGUAAAUUAAACCUCUUGACCUCCACACAGACAAGAUUCCCCAGUGAAACCUUUUGUAGGGAUACAGGACUGUUUCACGUGUUAGAUGCUGCACCUGAUCUCUGGAUGCCUUUUAGGACUAGAUAUAAUCACAGAAGGGCUGCAACGAAUUACCCAUCUGAAUAUUUUCUGUGACAUUAAGUACUACUUAGGGCACAAACAAGGCUUUGCCAAUCUGGGUUAUUUUGGGACACUUUUGUUAAGUUCCACAAAUUUCUGCUCUUUAAGUAUUGUUCGCUGGAAGGACUCCUCUCUGGUUGAUCCUUCCUACAGGCUACACCAAUAAGCAUCCCUGCUGUUGCCAGUGCUCUGGCUUCAUACUUACCCUAGAUCUUCAAUGAGGUAUUUCCAUCUCCUUUUCUGGAAAAUUUUGGAAAUCAGUUAUUGAACUCUGACUAAUGUUGGGACUUGGUAUUAGUUAAUAUAUUAUCUAGUAUUUUCAGAUGCAUUUGCUUUCAGAGGCAGUUAGACAGCUGUUUAACUGCCAACACUGUUUCCACUGUAAUACAUAGAUGUAAGAAUACUUGUUGAGUAUAUUUAUGCAGUCCCCAGCUAAGUUGGGCCCUGGUCCUACUUGGCCACUGUAUCCAAAAUAAAUAAAAUCCUUUAUUUUA